UAAGGAAUAUUGGUCAAUGGACGCAAGUCUGAACCAGCCAUGCCGCGUGGAGGAUGAAGGUCCUCUGGAUUGUAAACUUCUUUUAUUUGGGACGAAAAAAGGCCUUUCUAGGUCGUCUGACGGUACCAGAUGAAUAAGCACCGGCUAACUCCGUGCCAGCAGCCGCGGUAAUACGGAGGGUGCAAGCGUUAUCCGGAUUUACUGGGUUUAAAGGGUGCGCAGGCGGAUAUGUAAGUCAGUGGUGAAAUCUUUAGGCUUAACCUGAAAAUUGCCGUUGAUACUAUAUAUCUUGAAUGCUGUGGAGGUAAGCGGAAUAUGUCAUGUAGCGGUGAAAUGCUUAGAUAUGACAUAGAACACCUAUUGCGAAGGCAGCUUACUACGCAGAUAUUGACGCUCAUGCACGAAAGCGUGGGGAUCAAACAGGAUUAGAUACCCUGGUAGUCCACGCCCUAAACGAUGAUUACUCGACAUACGCGAUACACUGUGUGUGUCUGAGCGAAAGCAUUAGGUAAUCCACCUGGGAAGUACGACCGCAAGGUUGAAACUCAAAGGAAUUGACGGGGUCAUAGCUGUUUCCUG
rnacentral:rRNA from 1 species